UGGUUUAGAUUUUAUGUCUAUGUUUGGGG
rnacentral:piRNA from 1 species